ACACGCAUCGAUGAGAAUGUCUAACCUUGCAACACGCUAGAGAAUGUCACUCGUUUCAGAACAAUGGAUUCUUGUGUCCGUUUGACGUAAUGAGUUCUUUUGGUAUGUCGGCGGCGGGAGAUAUAUGUCUGUAUCCGGAAGCAACGGUGACGGUGUGGUUGGAAAGAGCAGCUGGCAUAAGUGAUAUGGACGAACAGAGCGAGUGAUGAUGAGCUCCCGAUGAGGUGAAGACGACAUCUGAUCGGUGAGUCUGCGUGUAUGGGUAUGUGUGUCUAUGUGUGACAUGCAGGUUGUCUGUCCUGAGUGUUGUGUUUGCGUGGUGUGGGGUGUAUGAGUGUUAUUUGGUGUCGUGGAGUAAGAUUGGGGGUA